rnacentral:rRNA from 1 species
AGUGAACGCUGGCGGUAGGCCUAACACACGCGAGUCGAACGGCAGCACAGUAAGAGCUUGCUCUUACGGGUGGCGAGUGGCGGACGGGUGAGGAAUACAUCGGAAUCUACUUUUUCGUGGGGGAUAACGUAGGGAAACUUACGCUAAUACAGCAUACGACCUACGGGUGAAAGCAGAGGAUCUUCGGACCUUGCGCGAUUGAAUGAGCCGAUGGCGUGUUAGCUGGUUGGCGGGGUAAAGGCCCACCAAGGGGGCGAUCGGUAGCUGGGGUGAGAGGAGGAAGAGCGACACUGGAAGUGAGACGCGGUCCAGACACCGAGGGGAGGCCGAAGCGGGGAAUAGUGGAAGAUGGGGGGAAGACUGAUCCAGCCGUACCGCGUGGGUGCAGAAGGCCUUCGGGUGGGAAAGCCCUUUUGUUGGGAAAGAAAAGCAGCAGGUUAAUACCCCGCUGUUGUGACGGUACCCAAAGAAUAAGCACCGGCUAACUUCGUG